GGGGAAAGGUUUACUGCCGAAGGAUCGGCCCGCGUCUGAUUAGCUUGUUGGUGGGGUAAUGGCCUACCAAGGCGACGAUCAGUAGCUGGUCUGAGAGGAUGAUCAGCCACACUGGGACUGAGACACGGCCCAGACUCCUACGGGAGGCAGCAGUGGGGAAUAUUGGACAAUGGGCGCAAGCCUGAUCCAGCCAUGCCGCGUGAGUGAUGAAGGCCUUAGGGUUGUAAAGCUCUUUUGUCCGGGACGAUAAUGACGGUACCGGAAGAAUAAGCCCCGGCUAACUUCGUGCCAGCAGCCGCGGUAAUACNAAGGGGGCUAGCGUUGCUCG
rnacentral:rRNA from 1 species